AUUGAACGCUGGCGGCAUGCCUUACACAUGCAAGUCGAACGGCAGCAUGAUCUAACUUGCUAGAUUGAUGGCGAGUGGCGAACGGGUGAGUAAUACAUCGGAACGUGCCCUGUAGUGGGGGAUAACUAGUCGAAAGAUUAGCUAAUACCGCAUACGACCUGAGGGUGAAAGUGGGGGACCGCAAGGCCUCAUGCUAUAGGAGCGGCCGAUGUCUGAUUAGCUAGUUGGUGGGGUAAAGGCCCACCAAGGCGACGAUCAGUAGCUGGUCUGAGAGGACGAUCAGCCACACUGGGACUGAGACACGGCCCAGACUCCUACGGGAGGCAGCAGUGGGGAAUUUUGGACAAUGGGGGCAACCCUGAUCCAGCAAUGCCGCGUGUGUGAAGAAGGCCUUCGGGUUGUAAAGCACUUUUGUCCGGAAAGAAAUCGCACUUACUAAUAUUAGGUGUGGAUGACGGUACCGGAAGAAUAAGGACCGGCUAACUACGUG
rnacentral:rRNA from 1 species